CCAAGGGCACGUGUCGUAGGUGCAGCGACCGCGGCGGACAAGUCGCGGGCGCCUCCUUGGAGCGUAAUUCCCACUGAGCUGCGGGUAGAAUCCUUUGCAGACGACUUAAAUACGCGACGGGGUAUUGUAAGUGGCAGAGUGGCCUUGCUGCCACGAUCCACUGAGAUUCAGCCCUUUGUCGCUUCGAUUCGU
rnacentral:ncRNA from 1 species